GGAAGGCUGCUGCUGGCAGGCAGGGAUGCUGCAGCCCACGGCCGUGCAGGAGAGGAGGGAGGCUGAGCAGGCGGCUGGGGGGGGCACAGCCAGCGGGGCGCGGGGGGUUGAGCACGUGGAGCCCUGCUGCAAUUGCUGGAAGAAGUGGAUGAAUGCCCCACGCUGCGCCGUGCUGAAGGGAAAACGACAAGACAGAGAGCCACUACGAGUCUUGCUGGGACCCGUGCUGACCCUCACCACGCAAGAUGACAACAAGAGAUGGACCACAGGAUAGGUA
rnacentral:lncRNA from 1 species